ACUGUUUUCCACUAUUUGCUUUCAAUCAUGCCUGAACUGGCCAAAUCCGCUCCGGCUCCCAAGAAGGGCUCAAAGAAGGCUGUCACCAAGGGGCAAAAGAAAGACGGCAAGAAGCGCAAGCGCAGUCGCAAGGAGAGCUACUCCAUCUAUGUGUACAAGGUGCUGAAGCAGGUGCAUCCGGACACGGGCAUCUCGUCCAAGGCCAUGGGCAUCAUGAACUCGUUUGUCAAUGACAUCUUCGAGCGCAUCGCAAACGAGGCUUCUCGCCUGGCGCAUUACAACAAGCGGUCUACAAUCACAUCGCGGGAGAUCCAGACGGCGGUGCGUCUCCUACUGCCCGGAGAACUGGCUAAGCACGCUGUGUCGGAGGGCACCAAGGCGGUCACCAAGUACACAAGCGCCAAGUAGAGGUCUCCUGGAUGAAGCGCUCCGGGCCCUUUUGGGCUUUAAAGUCUCUUGCAGUCACUCGCUCAAAUCAGGAGAGAGCUUUGUCCACUCGCAUUAGUUUUCUAGUUCCUAUUCCAAAGUUACUUUAAGGGUCUUGGAAAAGGUACACUCAAGACAUUAAGCCUUUGUGGUUUUGAGUUUCCCUGUGGGUUAUCAGGUUUGCAGUUAGCUGCACCCUACUUAGUUUCUUGGAGUUCGUUUUAGACUAGGAUAACUGAGGUGGGUCUCUGGGCCCGGCUUCCGUGUUCUAGUCUGUUGUGUCCCGGUGCCUUUUGCUUGACCUAAAGUGAGGUGGUUUCCUUACCUUGUCGAUUAGAGCCUUCUAAUCAGCUAAGUCUGUGUUGAUGAAUGCUGGGUACCAGCCAUCUAAAACUGAAACUGCUCUGACUUUAGUAGCUGUGUCCUGGGCACCAGCGGUUAGGGCUGCUUAGGGCGGUGUCCCUCUGACUUACUGAUGUAUAAACACGAGUGCUUCGCGUUGCUGCAGAUUCGUUAGAAAUCUGUUGUAGUUCUCUAUCAGACUUUAGAAUCCCUGUUCGUGUCUUGUUUUGUUCUGUUUAGGUUCUUGUUUGUUUGUUUGGUCGGUUGGUUGGGUUUUUUUCUUCCCAUUU
rnacentral:lncRNA from 1 species